UUAGCUAGCGCCCCGGGCAGGCCGGCCCAAUCCACACCAGGCUGUCUGUCCAACAUGUGUUAGUCUUCAUGCUGAGUGGACCUCUCCAUGGGGGAAGUCUGGGCAAGAAUGAUGAGAAUCAGAGCUACAAUCACUUCUGACAAGCCGGCUGCGGUGGUUCUCGGGGGCCAAGCCUGUCCAGCUGCUGCUUUACAAGACUGGAACAUCAAACAAUGAUUCCAUCUCGUCAGAGGAGCAGAUCAGUAGCCGGACAGCAAAUUGGAAAAGAAGCCUUCCUCCAUCCCUCAAAUGGAUUGCAAGGACAUCCUCAAAGAUAAAAGGAAAGAAAGGCAGACUUGAAUAAAGCAGCAUUUGUGUCAUUGUUUUACAACAUGGUGACAAUAAGAAUCCAACAAUGGCUUUUUAUGAUGUGUUUGAACCCAGUGCACCACCAGCGUGUUUGUGAGAAACUCUAUCACUCCAUCAUAAAACGGGAUAUGAACGGAAAAAGCGAAGAGAGCGAGCGAGGGAGCGAGCAUGGUUUCAACUGAUGUCUUCCAGUUGUGUGACCUCUCUUUCCUUUUUUUUUUUCCUGUCUCUCUGGCUUUAAUAAGGCCAGCUGUAGAGUCGGUCGGCCUCUCUGGGGGGAAGGAGUUGAGCGUGGCUGGAGC